GACGAACGCUGGCGGCGUGCUUAACACAUGCAAGUCGAACGGUGAAGCUCCAGCUUGCUGGAGUGGAUCAGUGGCGAACGGGUGAGUAACACGUGAGCAACCUGCCCCUGACUCUGGAAUAAGCGCUGGAAACGGCGUCUAAUACUGGAUACGAGAAGGGUCCGCAUGGGCACUUUCUGGAAAGUUUUUCGGUUGGGGAUGGGCUCGCGGCCUAUCAGCUUGUUGGUGAGGUAAUGGCUCACCAAGGCGACGACGGGUAGCCGGCCUGAGAGGGCGACCGGCCACACUGGGACUGAGACACGGCCCAGACUCCUACGGGAGGCAGCAGUGGGGAAUAGUGCACAAUGGGCGAAAGCCUGAUGCAGCGACGCCGGGUGAGGGAUGACGGCCUUCGGGUUGGAAACCUCUUUCAGCAGGGAAGAAGCGAAAGUGACGGUACCUGCAGAAGAAGCACCGGCCAACUACGUG
rnacentral:rRNA from 1 species